rnacentral:rRNA from 1 species
GACAGAGGGUGCAAACGUUGUUCGGAAUUACUGGGCGUAAAGCGCGUGUAGGCGGCCCUGCAAGUCGGGUGUGAAAUCCCACGGCUCAACCGUGGAAGUGCACUCGAAACUGCAGGGCUAGAGUCCUGGAGAGGAAGGUGGAAUGCUUGGUGGUAGAGGUGAAAUUCGUAGAUAUCAAGCGGAACACCGGUGGCGAAGGCGG